UACGUAGGGGGCAAGCGUUGUCCGGAAUCAUUGGGCGUAAAGAGCGCGUAGGCGGCCAGAUAAGUCCGGUGUAAAAGCCGCAGGCUCAACCUGUGAAUGCCGCUGGAAACUGUCUGGCUUGAGUCCGGGAGGGGCGAGUGGAAUUCCUGGUGUAGCGGUGAAAUGCGCAGAUAUCAGGAGGAACACCAAUGGCGAAGGCAGCUCGCUGGAACGGUACUGACGCUGAGGCGCGAAAGCGUGGGGAGCGAACAGG
rnacentral:rRNA from 1 species